rnacentral:rRNA from 1 species
AACGAACGCUGGCGGCAUGCCUAACACAUGCAAGUCGAACGAGACCUUCGGGUCUAGUGGCGCACGGGUGCGUAACGCGUGGGAACCUGCCCUUAGGUUCGGAAUAACUCCCCGAAAGGGGUGCUAAUACCGGAUAAUGUCUUCGGACCAAAGAUUUAUCGCCUUUGGAUGGGCCCGCGUUGGAUUAGCUAGUUGGUAGGGUAAAAGCCUACCAAGGCGACGAUCCAUAGCUGGUCUGAGAGGAUGAUCAGCCACACUGGGUCUGAGACACGGCCCAGACUCCUACGGGAGGCAGCAGUGGGGAAUAUUGGACAAUGGGCGAAAGCCUGAUCCAGCAAUGCCGCGUGAGUGAUGAAGGCCUUAGGGUUGUAAAGCUCUUUUACCCGGGAUGAUAAUGACAGUACCGGGAGAAUAAGCUCCGGCUAACUCCGUG